AAACAGAAGGCUCAGAUUUGGACGGCAGGAAUACCCCAAAACUUCAAACCCCACAGCUUUGUCUAACCCUGCUUUGAUAAGCAGGGUGUCCUAAACACACGACACUCUUGAAUAAUUUGACCCCCAGUUAAAGUGCUCUAUGGCAAUGUUAGACACAGAGAAAUUGAUUGAACUAGUCUGAUUGAGUAUCUCAGGACUUUGGUUAGAGUGGUCAAAGUAGUUAUUUUUAGUCUUGAGUCUUGUGCUGGUCAACAAAAGCACCCAAACACUUAAAUCCUCUUUUCAUCAAUUAAAAGUUACAAAUUUUAGUCUAAAUGUCCUCUUUACAUCUAUGUAUUAUUAGUAUUAAGGUUAUACCAAGUGCUUGAAUUUGCAACUUUUCAUUCUUCAAACUUUUGUACUCAGGUAUUAUCUCUAUUCCUUAACAAACUUAACUCUUUCCCUGCUAGCAUACAAUGAAAAAGUUGCCAAAAUAUUUCGAAUGCCACUGCGCAAAUGUUGGUUUCAGGAAAUGAAAAUCCCCAAAAUACCAGUGGUAUUUUGGCUUCAACUUGACACAGUGACAGGAGGCGGAGUUACGUUGUCCAUUCAAUAUACAGUCUAUACUGAGUGACUGUUGUUUGUGUCGGCAUAAAGCUCGUAAUCUGAAUUUGGCCCAAAACAGAGCUUUCUACUUUCUUACUUAACAGAAGUGAAAUCUACAAAAACCUUUCAAUAACUACUCUCAGGAUGUAGUUUCACAAUCAAACUAAACCCCCUGACCAUCACUUCCAAAUCCUGUUAAAACACCGUAAAAGAGCAUGUUUUAUCUGCUUUGCUUUACUCAAGAUAAAAUUAUUUUUGCACCGCCAGGCUUUCCAGCUUUUUCACUCAGCGAGAGUGAAAAUGAGCAUUGAUUGUUCUGAAAGAACAUCCAUUUGCAUUCACAGAGCUCCAUGAUUUUCAGUUCUUACUCAUUAAUCACGUCACUCACGUUACCCCUGAAACAUUUUUUUCAAGUUUGUAGCCCAGCAGGAAUGAUUCCCACACUGAUAACUUCAAACUCUUCUCCACCACCCCACCAUAAGCAUUCGCUUUAUUGUCUUAGAGUAUCUUUCACAUCGUGAUAAAUAAUGAGCCUUUCCCUCGUUUUCCCCCUUGCUCUCCUUUAAUGUGGCAUGGCAGGCGCACGGUUAGGCUGAGGUAAUAUAACACAUCAUCAUGUAUUUUUGAGCUCUGUGGCCAUUUCUUUCCUGUGGGAUUAUUAUUCAUGAAGAUGACAUCCCCAGUUAAAAAAUGGAUUGUAAUCUUCUUAUGUCUAUCUUAAAGGCACUAUAAAACCAACCAUAUCAUGUAAGUACUUGAACCUUCAUUUCAUCCUCAUUUUUGCUAUAAUUGAUUCUUUAAGAGAGUUUCGCCGUGCACUGUGAAGUAAUUACAUUUUUGGCUGAGGGGUCUUCUUUUCAUCUCAAGUCCUACAAAAAAAAAAAUGUCAGCAUGAGCUUCUAGCCAAAAACACUUCACAGUUUUAAUACCUAAAACUAUGAUAUAGUCCAUUGUAACAUUGUAAGAAUAGUUUGUUUAGACCUGAGUAAAUAGGACACAAACAUGCUAAACUGUAUCUUUGGGAUACAAUUAGACUGAGAGUAAACUGUGUCAAAUAGCUGGACUCAAUGAUUAUACCGAGGCACAAAAACAGUCUGUUAUGGGAGAAAACAAAAGCAGAGCACACAAGAUUUCAUCUCUUAUAAUGUUAUGGCCUGUUUUACCAGUAGAACGCCCUGGAGGAAAAAAACCAAAAAAACAUGAGUAGCUGAUUGACUCUUAAAAAUUCAUGCAUUGUUAACAAUUUCUUAAUCCUAAACUUAAACUCUUGUUUGGUAUCAUAGCGUUGUAAAUGGCCAGGGUUCUUCCAUGUACUGUUACCGUUUACAGACUGACUCUCAACUUAAUGUCCCACUCCCGUUGUUUUUUUUUUAACUUCUUUCAGCGUUCUCAGUGGUCUUUAAACUCUGAAUAUUUAGUUUUUAGCCAAAAUCACGUCACCUGUGUCAUUUUCAAGGGCUUUUCUUCUGCAGAGCUCUAGUAGCUCAUUAGCAAUUCGCCUCUGAGUCGUGGACGGUGACAGCGCUGCUCUGCACACCUUUCUUUGCACUAGCUUGCAGCCUAACAUUGACAGUGUAGUAGAAUCAGCAGGUAACAUAAGGGCUAUUCAGCUCUUGGACACUAAAGUCUUUGGGGGCAUGAUGAAAGCUAAUAUCAAAAUUAGCUGUGUUACAAGCAUUGCACUCCGCUAACGCACAUGCUUGUUCCACGAUUGUUCUCUCUUAUUUCUUCGAGCCUGGCUUGCGUAGCCAGGUAGUGUAGGUAGUGUCCCACUGAUUUCUGAUGUGAUGUUGUGAAGGUGAACAAUGGAGUCCACCUAGAAAAUCUAAGCUGUGGAGCUGAGGCUGGCCAGAUUGGUAAACAUCUUUGGCACAACUGUUGUCAAUCGAAUUAGCCCCACCCGUAAUUAUACUUGAUCAUGCUAAACUCCCAACAUCAGCCUCAUUCAAAGCUCUUUUCUCACUAGAUGUCUCAUUCACAUUCCUACACUGACAGCAGAGGCUACUGUGCAGACCAGUCAUCAGUAAUCCUAUUCUCCUCUGGGCACAGCCAGCGGGGGUAGUGGACAUUUCGGCACGUGGGACAGCAGGACCUUGUAUUGAACCCCCAACCAAUUGAGAGAUGAACAACUCUACCACUGAGCCAUAACCGCCCCCCAAGUCAAGGCCAAAACAUUAAGACUACCAAAGUUAGCAGAUACCAAAUUUUUAUCCAGACACUGUAGAUCGAGGUUUUGUUAUUCAACAGAAAACUGUCAUUGCUCCAAUAGUAUUUCUUUUUAUAUAAUAGCCUAAAUUAUAUGGGAAAUAGCAAAACAACACUCACCAUAAAGAACCUCCUUCUAGUUUGUUUUUUGGGCCCUGGUGGUGUCUGAAAAAUGAGCUGAAAUUGUCAGGUAGAAGAACAGAUUACUUUCAAGCCUUGCAGGUAAAAAAAUCAUGAAUCUAACAUGACCCUAUUCAAAUCUUAAAUUUUCACUAACUCAGCUGCAGGGGUGCCCUGUCUGUCACUCUGAGCACAAUCCCUCAGUUUGUCUAGUUUUAAGGUCAAACACUCGCGUUAGAUGUUGGUUUUUCAGUCAGAAAAAUGUAAGGAAUACAAUAAAAAGGGCGCUUCUGCUUACUUUUUGUCAUAAAUCAAGAGAAUCCUUACAGGCAGCUCUGUCAGACAUAAUGUAGUUUGUAAAUUUUAAACUACGACAUAAUCCAGGAGGCUAUUAUGCAAAUAGAUUGCCACACUGCUGUUUUCUCUCCGAGAUUUAUACACACCAUACAUCAGUGACUAAACCUAUUAGGGUUUUACAUUUGCUUUAUGAAACACCUGCAAUAAAAGCAUCUUGUGCCUUUUAACCAUCGGCACCGUCUCAGUUUGAUAACAUAGAGACAGAGAUGAUAUAAUCUGCAGUGAGGUAGAGUGAAGCAGUUGUCAAAACUGUCACUGUAUCACUAAGAGUGUUCACAUAAUUCAUGUGUAGUCAUGGCUUCUACAGUAAUGUGAGGUUAAAAAAAACAGCAUUGUUGGCCUCUGAUAAAGCAAAAUCAACCAUGUAUUAUCAGUGACUUGCAGUGCUUUUGCAGUCUGCUCCUGGUUGCUGCGGGUGUAUUAACUCAAGGUCACUUACUUCAACCUCUCUGUGUCAACUCGUUUAUCCAUUUCAAGCCGGCUGUUACACCUCUAUUGGGGUACAGAAUCCCAUCAAGCAAACUGGCACAACCACCCUUUCUAAUUUUGUUCAAUUUGAGCUGGUAUUUGCCGGGAUGCCCUGAAAAUGUGUUCAGUUUGGGGAUAUUAUACUUUUAUUAGAGAUGGUAGGAGCGUACAGAAUUGAGAGAUGGAGGGAUACUGCUGGCCUAGAGGGACCUUUAGCCUGCUGAUUUAAUUUCUCACAACACUUUCAUUUAUCAUGAUCUUUUGCUACCUGAAAGCCGGGGAUAUCGCACAGCUGUCCUCGACCUCGAGCAUCCCAGUGUCCCAUGACAACACUGACUCACAAAAUAUGCUGCUCAAGUAGCCCUUUUGUUUUUCACUUUUACUGAGACGACUGAAUGACUGAAAUUAAUAACAUGGAUGCCUCUAUUUGAGCUCCAAAAGCAAACUACACCAUCUGGAAGAAAACUAACUUUCUAAAAUUGUUUUUUAAUGCUCCAACAGCUGAUGUGUCAUUUGGUAAGAAAAUAACCUCAGCUCUAAAUAACCACCAUUUAUAUAUCCCACAGAUAUAUAGCUACUGGAUGUGCAUAUUUUAAAGACCCACAGAAAAAAAUCAUAUUUUUCUUGUUGUUUAUAUGUUCAUGUGGCAUUUUUCUGAUGCUACAGGAUAUAUCAUAAGAAAACUUAGUAUUCAAAAUUGCAUUUCUGAGUGUUCCUGCAUCCAAAUUACAGUGAACCUCGAGCAGACCCAAACAGCAAGUUCAGACACAGUAGGAUUUUCUAUGUCACAACACUAUGCUCCGCCCUUGGCUCCUUGCUCUGCAGGCCACACCCUAAAAAGUAAAGAGGAAGAUGGCGGAGCAUCUGUGUGCAGUAGUAGAUUGGAAUGCUCUUAGCUAAUUAUCAUAUUAGCCUUCAUUAUGCCCCCAAAGGCCUACUAGUGUCUGGAGCUCUGCAGAAGAAAAGCCCCUGAAAAUGACACAGGUAAUGUGAUUUUGGCUAAAAAUUUCAUAAUCACAAUUUAAAGACCACUGAGAACACUUUAAGUAGAAAAAAUAAACCAAAAACAAACAAUAAAUUUUUUUUAAAAACAAUCAGAAUUGGCCUUUAAAUACUUGACCUGUCUGUACCAGACAAGAGCGAUAGAGGGACGAGAUAGGAACCGUAACAAAACCUCAACAAAACCUUAGCAAUAACAGAGUUUCAAACAGAAGCUACAAAUACCAGCAUUUAAUUUUGUAACCUGGAUAUCUCUUCCUUCUUUUAUGCUAAGCUAAGCUAACUGUGCCUUUUGUGUGGGUUUAUAUUGUGGAUGAAGGGAAUGCCACCCUAAGCACAACAUGACCAGGAAUAUUUCAACAACUUGCACUUGCUCGACCAUGGAUCAAUUUGUUUCUACUACCACAGACUUUUGCAAUCAAGUAUAUAAUCAAGUAGCCUUGAUUUGAAAUGAAUAAAACAAACAUAUUGUUACCAAAGAUGAGAUGUUUGACCCUAAUGUUUAGUGCAUACCAAAUGUUGAUAAAAUCACCUGCAACAGGUGAAUAACAUGUAAAGUCACUGUAAAGAUGUAAUUAGGCAGGUGUUCUUGCUGUGUGAUGCAGAAAAGGCAAAUAAGUCAGUGUCACUAGCAUGAACUGAGUGAAUUAUACCCAUGAAUGAUGCAAAUUUGCAACACGCUCCAUGUGUUACUAGCUUAAGCAGCAAUAGCCAAUCAGCAAAG